rnacentral:rRNA from 1 species
UACGUAGGGUGCGAGCGUUGUCCGGAAUUACUGGGCGUAAAGAGCUCGUAGGUGGUUUGUCGCGUUGUCCGUGAAAACUCACAGCUUAACUGUGGGCGUGCGGGCGAUACGGGCAGACUGGAGUACUGCAGGGGAGACUGGAAUUCCUGGUGUAGCGGUGGAAUGCGCAGAUAUCAGGAGGAACACCGGUGGCGAAGGCGGUGCUCUGGGCCAGUACUGACGCUGAGGUGCGAAAGCGUGGGGAGCAAACAGG